GAUGAAGAACGUAGCGAAAUGCGAUAAGUAAUGUGAAUUGCAAAUUCAGUGAAUCAUCGAGUCUUUGAACGCACAUUGCGCCCCCUGGUAUUCCGGGGGGCAUGCCUGUCCGAGCGUCAUUGCUGCCCUCAAGCACGGCUUGUGUGUUGGGCCCCGUCCUCCGAUCCCGGGGGACGGGCCCGAAAGGCAGCGGCGGCAUCGCGUCCGGUCCUCGAGCGUAUGGGCUUUGUCACCCGCUCUGUAGGCCCGGCCGGCGCUUGCCGAUCAACCCAAAUUUUUAUCCAGGUUGACCUCGGAUCAGGUAGGGAUACCCGCUGAACUUAAGCAUAUCAAUAAGCGGAGGA
rnacentral:misc_RNA from 1 species